CAGUAGCCGCGGUAAUACGUAGGUGGCAAGCGUUGUCCGGAAUUAUUGGGCGUAAAGCGCGCGCAGGCGGAUCAGUUAGUCUGUCUUAAAAGUUCGGGGCUUAACCCCGUGAGGGGAUGGAAACUGCUGAUCUAGAGUAUCGGAGAGGAAAGUGGAAUUCCUAGUGUAGCGGUGAAAUGCGUAGAUAUUAGGAAGAACACCAGUGGCGAAGGCGACUUUCUGGACGAAAACUGACGCUGAGGCGCGAAAGCCAGGGGAGCGAACGGGAUUAGAUACCCCCGUAGUCCCUGUCUCUUAUACC
rnacentral:rRNA from 1 species